rnacentral:rRNA from 1 species
GACGAACGCUGGCGGCGUGCUUAACACAUGCAAGUCGAACGGAAAGGCCCUGCUUGCAGGGUACUCGAGUGGCGAACGGGUGAGUAACACGUGGGUGAUCUGCCCUGCACUUCGGGAUAAGCCUGGGAAACUGGGUCUAACACCGGAUAGGAGCCAUUUUUAGUGUGAUGGUUGGAAAGUUUUUUCGGUGUAGGAUGAGCUCGCGGCCUAUCAGCUUGUUGGUGGGGUAAUGGCCUACCAAGGCGGCGACGGGUAGCCGGCCUGAGAGGGUGGACGGCCACAUUGGGACUGAGAUACGGCCCAGACUCCUACGGGAGGCAGCAGUGGGGAAUAUUGCACAAUGGGCGCAAGCCUGAUGCAGCGACGCCGCGUGGGGGAUGACGGCCUUCGGGUUGUAAACUCCUUUCGCUAGGGACGAAGCUUUUUGUGACGGUACCUAGAUAAGAAGCACCGGCUAACUACGUG